rnacentral:rRNA from 1 species
GACGAACGCUGGCGGCGUGCUUAACACAUGCAAGUCGAACGGACAGACAGAGAGCUUGCUCUCUUGAAGUUAGUGGCGAACGGGUGAGUAACGCGUAAUCAACCUGCCCUUCAGAGGGGGAUAACAACGGGAAACCGUUGCUAAUACCGCGUACGAUUCAUGAACGGCAUCGUUUAUGAAUGAAAGGUGGCCUCUAUGUAUAAGCUAUCGCUGAAGGAGGGGAUUGCGUCUGAUUAGCUAGUUGGAGGGGUAACGGCCCACCAAGGCAAUGAUCAGUAGCGGGUCUGUGAGGAUGAACGGCCACAUUGGGACUGAGACACGGCCCAAACUCCUACGGGAGGAAGCAGUGGGGAAUCUUCCGCAAUGGACGAAAGUCUGACGGAGCAACGCCGCGUGAGUGAUGAAGGUCUUCGGAUUGUAAAGCUCUGUUAAUCGGGACGAAAGAGUUCUGCGUGAAUAAUGCAGAAAAGUGACGGUACCGGAAUAGAAAGCCACGGCUAACUACGUGCCAGCCGCCGCCGUAA